rnacentral:rRNA from 1 species
CCUACGGGAGGCUGCAGUGGGGAAUAUUGCACAAUGGGGGGAACCCUGAUGCAGCGACGCCGCGUGAAGGAAGAAGGCCUUCGGGUUGUAAACUUCUUUGACCAGGGACGAAUAAAUGACGGUACCUGGAGAACAAGCCACGGCUAACUACGUGCCAGCAGCCGCGGUAAUACGUAGGUGGCGAGCGUUGUCCGGAAUUACUGGGUGUAAAGGGCGUGUAGGCGGGUUCUUAAGUCAGAUGUGAAAUCCCGGGGCUCAACUCCGGAGCUGCAUCUGAAACUGGGGAUCUUGAGUGCUGGAGGGGAAAGUGGAAUUCCUAGUGUAGCGGUGAAAUGCGUAGAGAUUAGGAGGAACACCAGUGGCGAAGGCGGCUUUCUGGACAGCAACUGACGCUGAGGCGCGAAAGCGUGGGGAGCAAACAGGAUUAGAUACCCCGGUAGUC